GUGUCAGCCGCCGCGGUAAUACGGAGGGUGCGAGCGUUGCUCGGAAUCACUGGGCGUAAAGCGUACGCAGGCUGUCUCGUAAGUCGGGUGUGAAAGCCCGGGGCUCAACCCCGGAAUUGCGCCCGAGACUGCGGGGCUUGAAUGCGGGAGAGGGAAGCGGAAUUCCUGGUGUAGAGGUGAAAUUCGUAGAUAUCAGGAGGAACACCGGUGGCGAAAGCGGCUUCCUGGCCCGACAUUGACGCUCAUGUACGAGAGCGUGGGGAGCAAACAGGAUUAGAAACCCCCGUAGUCC
rnacentral:rRNA from 1 species